GGCCCUUUAGACUUUUUUUUUUCUGUUUUUUCAAAGCCAGAAUUCCAUUACUACCCAAGGAGGCAUAAAGAAUAAUACCAAGUUCGUUUGGGUAAAGGAUUACAAUAAAAGGGAGGUUUCCAUGAGACACUUUCGAGCCAAGCUACGCGCUGCCUUGUUGUAAUUCCUAUUGACAUACUUGAAGCUAACAGAGCGUAACUGUUGGGAUAAAUGCAAGAUAUCUUUCACAAUUCCUUCAAUCGAAAGGAAGGAGGAAAUACCCUGAACAGCUUGCAUCACCGAGAGUCACCUUCAACUAUGAUCGAAUUAAACUUCCUCCUACUAGCUAAU
rnacentral:misc_RNA from 1 species